rnacentral:rRNA from 1 species
UACGGAGGGUGCAAGCGUUAUCCGGAUUCACUGGGUUUAAAGGGUGCGUAGGUGGGUCUGUAAGUCAGUGGUGAAAUCCCCGAGCUUAACUUGGGAACUGCCGUUGAUACUAUAGAUCUUGAAUAUCGUGGAGGUAAGCGGAAUAUGUCAUGUAGCGGUGAAAUGCUUAGAUAUACAUAGAACACCAAUUGCGAAGGCAGUCUACUAACACGAUCAUUGACACUGAGGCACGAAAGCGUGGGGAGCAAACAGG